GACAGAGGGGGCAAGCGUUGCUCGGAAUUACUGGGCGUAAAGGGCGCGUAGGCGGGAUGGCAAGUCGGUCGUGAAAUCCCUCGGCUCAACCGAGGAACGUCGAUCGAUACUGCUGUUCUUGAGGAUUGCAGAGGAGACUGGAAUUCCCGGUGUAGCGGUGAAAUGUGUAGAGAUCGGGAGGAACACCGGUGGCGAAGGCGGGUCUCUGGGCAAUUCCUGACGCUGAGGCACGAAAGCCAGGGGAGCAAACGGG
rnacentral:rRNA from 1 species